rnacentral:ncRNA from 1 species
GCCUGAGGCAGCAUACCUGUCAAACUAUAACCCAGGUGUCCUAAGGCAAGCCCAGGAAGGACAGAAACCUCCAGUGGAGCAGAAAGCCUAACACUCACUUGAUCUUCAUUUUCAAAUGUUGACGCAAUCACAG